rnacentral:rRNA from 2 species
UUUUAGUAGCACGCUCAAGACCCGAAGCGGAGUGAUCUAGCCAUGGGCAGGUUGAAGCGGCUGUAAGAGGUCGUGGAGGACCGAACCCACCAGGGUUGAAAACCUGGGGGAUGACCUGUGGUUAGGGGUGAAAGGCCAAUCAAACUCCGUGAUAGCUGGUUCUCCCCGAAAUGCAUUUAGGUGCAGCGUCGUGUGUUUCUUGCCGGAGGUAGAGCACUGGAUAGGCGAUGGGCCCUACCGGGUUACUGACCUUAGCCAAACUCCGAAUGCCGGUAAGUGAGAGCGCGGCAGUGAGACUGUGGGGGAUAAGCUCCAUGGUCGAGAGGGAAACAGCCCAGAGCAUCGACUAAGGCCCCUAAGCGUACGCUAAGUGGGAAAGGAUGUGGAGUCGCACAGACAACCAGGAGGUUGGCUUAGAAGCAGCCACCCUUGAAAGAGUGCGUAAUAGCUCACUGGUCUAGUGAUUCCGCGCCGACAAUGUAGCGGGGCUCAAGCGUACCGCCGAAGUCGUGUCAUUGCAGCAAUACGGCCAACGCCGGCUGUGAUGGGUAGGGGAGCGUCGUGUGCCGGGUGAAGCAGCCGCGGAAGCGAGUUGUGGACGGUUCACGAGUGAGAAUGCAGGCAUGAGUAGCGAUACAAACGUGAGAAACGUUUGCGCCGAUUGACUAAGGGUUCCUGGGUCAAGCUGAUCUGCCCAGGGUAAGUCGGGACCUAAGGCGAGGCCGACAGGCGUAGUCGAUGGAUAACCGGUUGAUAUUCCGGUACCCGCUGUGAAGCGUCAAACAUCGAGCAUCGUGAUGCUAAGGCCGUGAAGCCGCCCUGAUCUCUUCGGAGUUGAGGGGAGUGGUGGAGCCGCCGAACCAAGCGGUUAGUAGGUGAGUGAUGGGGUGACGCAGGAAGGUAGUCCAUCCCGGGCGGUGGUUGUCCCGGGGUAAGGGUGUAGGCCGGUGUGUAGGUAAAUCCGCACACCUUGUGGCUGAGACCUGAUGCCGAGCCGAUUGUGGUGAAGUGGAUGAUCCUAUGCUGUCGAGAAAAGCCUCUAGCGAGUUUCAUGGCGGCCCGUACCCUAAACCGACUCAGGUGGUCAGGUAGAGAAUACCGAGGCGUUCGGGUGAACUAUGGUUAAGGAACUCGGCAAAAUGCCCCCGUAACUUCGGGAGAAGGGGGGCCACACCUGGUGACGAGUUUUGCACUCUGAGCUGGGGGUGGCCGCAGAGACCAGCGAGAAGCGACUGUUUACUAAAAACACAGGUCCGUGCGAAGCCGUAAGGCGAUGUAUACGGACUGACGCCUGCCCGGUGCUGGAACGUUAAGGGGACCGGUUAGUCACAUUUCGGUGUGGCGAAGCUGAGAACUUAAGCGCCAGUAAACGGCGGUGGUAACUAUAACCAUCCUAAGGUAGCGAAAUUCCUUGUCGGGUAAGUUCCGACCUGCACGAAUGGCGUAACGACUUCUCGACUGUCUCAACCAUAGGCCCGGUGAAAUUGCACUACGAGUAAAGAUGCUCGUUUCGCGCAGCAGGACGGAAAGACCCCGGGACCUUUACUACAGUUUGAUAUUGGUGUUCGGUUCGGCUUGUGUAGGAUAGCUGGGAGACUUUGAAGCUCGCACGCCAGUGUGGGUGGAGUCGUCGUUGAAAUACCAGUCUGGUCGUGCUGGAUGUCUAACCUGGGUCCGUGAUCCGGAUCAGGGACAGUGUCUGAUGGGUAGUUUAACUGGGGCGGUUGCCUCCUAAAGAGUAACGGAGGCGCCCAAAGGUUCCCUCAGCCUGGUUGGCAAUCAGGUGUUGAGUGUAAGUGCACAAGGGAGCUUGACUGUGAGACCGACGGGUCGAGCAGGGACGAAAGUCGGGACUAGUGAUCCGGCGGUGGCUUGUGGAAGCGCCGUCGCUCAACGGAUAAAAGGUACCCCGGGGAUAACAGGCUGAUCUUCCCCAAGAGUCCAUAUCGACGGGAUGGUUUGGCACCUCGAUGUCGGCUCGUCGCAUCCUGGGGCUGGAGUCGGUCCCAAGGGUUGGGCUGUUCGCCCAUUAAAGCGGUACGCGAGCUGGGUUUAGAACGUCGUGAGACAGUUCGGUCCCUAUCCGCUGUGCGCGUAGGAGUCUUGAGAAGGGCUGUCCCUAGUACGAGAGGACCGGGACGGACGAACCUCUGGUGUGCCAGUUGUCCUGCCAAGGGCAUGGCUGGUUGGCUACGUUCGGGAGGGAUAACCGCUGAAAGCAUCUAAGCGGGAAGCCUGCUUCGAGAUGAGGACUCCCACCCCCUUGAGGGGUUAAGGCUCCCAGUAGACGACUGGGUUGAUAGGCCGGAUCUGGAAGCACCGUGAGGUGUGGAGGUGACCGGUACUAAUAGGCCGAGGGCUUGUCCUC